rnacentral:rRNA from 1 species
GACGUAGGGUGCGAGCGUUGUCCGGAUUUAUUGGGCGUAAGGGUGUGUAGGUGGCGCCGUAAGUCGGGUGUGAAAUUUCGGAGCUUAACUCCGAAACUGCAUUCGAUACUGCGGUGCUUGAGGACUGGAGAGGAGACUGGAAUUCAUGGUGUAGCAGUGAAAUGCGUAGAGAUCAUGAGGAAGACCAGUGGCGAAGGCGGGUCUCUGGACAGUUCCUGACAGCUGAGCACGAAGGCCAGGGGAGCAAACGGG